rnacentral:rRNA from 1 species
UACAUAGGGUUCAAGCGUUGUUCGGAUUUAUUGGGCGUAAAGGGUGCGUAGGCGGCUCUGUAAGUCGGGUGUGAAAUUUCGGAGCUUAACUCCGAAACUGCAUUCGAUACUGCGGUGCUUGAGGACUGGAGAGGAGACUGGAAUUCAUGGUGUAGCAGUGAAAUGCGUAGAGAUCAUGAGGAAGACCAGUGGCGAAGGCGGGUCUCUGGACAGUUCCUGACACUGAGGCACGAAAGCCAGGGGAGCAAACGGG